AACGCAAAUUGCACUCCCUGGUAUUCCGGGGAGUAUGCCUGUUUGAGGGUCGUUAGAAUAAAAAUCGAGGCGUCGCUCUUUUUUUUUAAGGGUGAUCGCGUCGGAAUUGAGCCGUCUUUCAAAUGUUAAUUCAUGUCAAAGUGGCUUAAAAUUCAUCCAUCCGGUACGAUUAAAGCGUAUUUAAGAUCAAUUUUGAUUAAGAACGCGCGAUGACGUACCAUCUCAUGUAGUACGUUUGACCUGGCGUCGUUAGGAUCAUUCGUAUACGAUACUCAACUUUUGACCUCAAAUCAGGUAAGAAUACCCGCUGAACUUAA
rnacentral:misc_RNA from 1 species